GACGAACGCUGGCGGCGUGCCUAAUACAUGCAAGUAGAACGCUGAAGGAGGAGCUUGCUUCUCUGGAUGAGUUGCGAACGGGUGAGUAACGCGUAGGUAACCUGCCUGGUAGCGGGGGAUAACUAUUGGAAACGAUAGCUAAUACCGCAUAAGAGUAGAUGUUGCAUGACAUUUGCUUAAAAGGUGCAAAUGCAUCACUACCAGAUGGACCUGCGUUGUAUUAGCUAGUUGGUGGGGUAACGGCUCACCAAGGCGACGAUACAUAGCCGACCUGAGAGGGUGAUCGGCCACACUGGGACUGAGACACGGCCCAGACUCCUACGGGAGGCAGCAGUAGGGAAUCUUCGGCAAUGGACGGAAGUCUGACCGAGCAACGCCGCGUGAGUGAAGAAGGUUUUCGGAUCGUAAAGCUCUGUUGUAAGAGAAGAACGAGUGUGAGAGUGGAAAGUUCACACUGUGACGGUAUCUUACCAGAAAGGGACGGCUAACUACGUGCCAGCAGCCGCGGUAAUACGUAGGUCCCGAGCGUUGUCCGGAUUUAUUGGGCGUAAAGCGAGCGCAGGCGGUUAGAUAAGUCUGAAGUUAAAGGCUGUGGCUUAACCAUAGUAGGCUUUGGAAACUGUUUAACUUGAGUGCAAGAGGGGAGAGUGGAAUUCCAUGUGUAGCGGUGAAAUGCGUAGAUAUAUGGAGGAACACCGGUGGCGAAAGCGGCUCUCUGGCUUGUAACUGACGCUGAGGCUCGAAAGCGUGGGGAGCAAACAGG
rnacentral:rRNA from 1 species